AGGAUGACUCUAUUGCUUGGCCCUCCAGGCUGUGGGAAAUCCACUUUAUUACAGGCGCUUGCAGGGAAACCUAACCAUUCUCUCAAGGUCCGGGGAACUGUAACCUACAAUGGUUAUAAGCUCAAUGAGUUUGUUCCAUGCACAGAAGACAUCAGCUUAUAUAAGUCAAUAUGUCUUGCACAUUUCUGAAAUGACUGUGAGGGAAGCACUGGAUUUCGCAGCACGCUGUCAGGGUAUUGGAAGCAGAGCAGGUGCCCUAUUUUCUUCACAUCUUAUGGCCAUAGUCAUAUUCCAUAAAACUAGAUUUAACUUGGAAGCUGUUACAACGACAUAUAUAAUGAAAGAAGUCACCAGAAGGGAGAAGCAAGAAGGAAUUGUCCCAGAUUCAGAUAUUGAUACUUAUAUGAAGGUAUGACAUUUGAGAACAGAAGUUCUAGUUCUUUUCUGAACUAAACAGGCCAUUUCGGUAGAAGGGUUGAAAAAAUCUCUCAUGACAGACUACAUAAUAAAGAUCCUUGGGCUAGACAUUUGUGCUGAGACAAUCGUAGGAGAUCCAAUGCAAAGAGGAAUUUCGGGUGGCCAAAAGAAAAGACUAACAACAGGUAAUGUAAUUAAACUGCCUGUGAGACCUUCCUAAUAAAUUUACCUGCUUUACUUCUAACCAUGAAAUAGUUUGGAUAUCACCCUGCAUUGACACUUGAUGAGGUUAGUUUGCUGUAUCCGACACGGCCAAUAGUUUGCUGUCUGCAACCAUGAAAUACUUUGGAUAUCACCCUGCGUUGACACUUGAUGAGGUCAAGGAGUGGGUACCACUAGCAAGGAACACAAAAAACAUCGGCAAAGAUCAAGCAAGGUCGCAUGUUUCUUCAGAUUGUACUCUCAAGUACAUAAUAGAACACCCAUAACCUAUAUGUGAGUUCAGGUAAAAGUUGGCAUCAAACAUAAUAUGAAGAUAUUUAAAAGGCCACAGCAUGGAUCACUGACCAUUUAUCUUUUGCAAUCAACAAAGACAAUUCUAAUCUAGGAUGCUCUCUGUUAAUCUAGAAUGUUUUACAUUUUAGGACGAUGAUGAUAAAUUGUUGGUUAAAUUAAGUUGUUUUUAUACAGUAUUGUUGUCGGCAUAUUAAUUUACAUUUUGUAAUGUGAUAUUGCAGUUUGUUAUCUCUAUUUUCAUCUCAAUAAAUUGUAUAGA